AUUGAACGCUGGCGGCAGGCCUAACACAUGCAAGUCGAACGAGUGGCGGACGGGUGAGUAAUGUCUGGGAAACUGCCUGAUGGAGGGGGAUAACUACUGGAAACGGUAGCUAAUACCGCAUACCAUCGGAUGUGCCCAGAUGGGAUUCGCUAGUAGGUGGGGUAACGGCUAACCUAGGCGACGAUCCCUAGCUGGUCUGAGCGGAUGACCAGCCACACUGGAACUGAGACACGGUCCAGCAUCCUACGUGAGGCAGAAUUGGGGAAUAUUGCACAAUGGGCGCAAGCCUGAUGCAGCCAUGCCGCGUGUAUGAAGAAGGCCUGAGGGUUGUAAAGUACUUUCAGCGAGGAGGCGUGACUCGCAGAAGAAGCACCGGCUAACUCCGUGCCAGCAGCCGCGGUAAUUC
rnacentral:rRNA from 1 species